UACGAAGGGGGCUAGCGUUGCUCGGAAUCACUGGGCGUAAAGGGCGCGUAGGCGGAUCUUUAAGUCAGGGGUGAAAGCCUGAGGCUCAACCUCAGAAUUGCCUUUGAUACUGAAGAUCUUGAGACCGGAAGAGGUUAGUGGAACUGCGAGUGUAGAGGUGAAAUUCGUAGAUAUUCGCAAGAACACCAGUGGCGAAGGCGGCUCACUGGCCCGAUACUGACGCUGAGGUGCGAAAGCGUGGGGAGCAAACAGGGAUUAAGAUACCCUU
rnacentral:rRNA from 1 species